UCCAGGACCGACUCCACCAGGACCGACUCCACCAGGACCGACUCCACCAGGUCCAACUCCACCAGGACCAACUCCACCAGGAUGAGUUCCAAAGCCUCCAGGGCCGACUCCACCAGGUCCGACUCCACCAGGACCAACUCCACCAGGACGAGUUCCAAAGCCUCCAGGACUGACACCACC